rnacentral:tRNA from 1 species
GCGUUGAUGGUUCAGUGGUAGAAUUCUUGUCUUCCAUAUGGGAGACCUGGUUUCAAUUCCUGGCCAAUGCA